UACGUAGGGGGCAAGCGUUGUCCGGAAUCAUUGGGCGUCAAGCGCGUGUAGGCGGCUCGGUAAGUCCGCUCUGAAAGUCCAGGGCUCAACCCUGGGAUGCGGGUGGAUACUGCCGGGCUCGAGUCCGGAAGAGGCGAGUGGAAUUCCUGGUGUAGCGGUGAAAUGCGCAGAUAUCAGGAGGAACACCGAUGGCGAAGGCAGCUCGCUGGGACGUGACUGACGCUGAGGCGCGAAAGCUAGGGGAGCAAACAGG
rnacentral:rRNA from 1 species